GUCCUUCCGGGCCUCGCGGUGGGCGAGACUCCGAGCUCGGCCACCGCGCCCAGCCGCUGAGGCUGCUGGGCAGAAACUGCCGCCAUGGGCCCAGAGCUGUGAGUUCGAGCCCUGGCGAGCCCGCCCGACCCCACCCUCCCCGCAGCAGGCCCCUCCGAUACGCCGUUUAGGAGCUCUUUCCUCCGUGUGCCUCCCGCCGCUUUGGGUCAGGGGCUGCAAGCUGCUUCCCCAGCCCCUGUGGUUGCUCCAUCACCGGUGAACCUGCAAAGUCUCUCCAGGGUCACCUGCUAGAAUGCAGAGAGGAGGAGGCCGGCAAAGGACAGACAGGCAGGAUGGCCUCAAGCAGGACCCAGGCUCCAGUUCAGGCUCAAGGUUAUGGACUUACCUGGGCGUGGAUGAUCUCGAACGGACAGUGGCCACACCACUAACCCCUGCCCCAGGAUCAGUGUGCACAGAGUCCCAGCCUCCAGGGUCCUGUGAUCUAACAGGGCGGAUAAUCACUGCCUGGUGUGGAAAGGGGCAGUCUGAAGUGCACGCAUGGAUGCAAGGAAGGGCAUCGCUGGCAGCCUGUAGAGGACUGUGCAGGGCUCCUGGGACAACAGGAGGGCGUGGCAGGCAGAGGGAACCGCUUGGGCCAAGGCAUGGAGUUGGGAGGGGUCUGGAGUGUCGGGGGAUCCUGAGUGGGUUGUCGGGGGUC
rnacentral:lncRNA from 1 species